GUAAACCUGGGGCUGGCGGCGGGGGUAAUACGGAGGGGGCAACGGUGAAUCGGAAUUACUGGGCGUAAGGCGCGUGUAGGUGGUUCGUUAAGUUGGAUGUGAAAUCCCCGGGCUCAACCUGGGAACUGCAUCCAAAACUGGCGAGCGAGAGUAGGGCAGAGGGUGGUGGAAUUUCCUGUGUAGCGGUGAAAUGCGUAGAUAUAGGAAGGAACACCAGUGGCGAAGGCGACCACCUGGGCUCAUACUGACACUGAGGUGCGAAAGCGUGGGGAGCAAACAGGAUUAGAUACCCCGGUAGUC
rnacentral:rRNA from 1 species